AAAUUUAGGUUAGAGCCCAAACCAAGGGCCUUCAAAGCCCUAAAUGUGAGUAACCAAACCCUCAUAGUUUCUG
rnacentral:tRNA from 1 species